CUUGAUUUGAACUAAACUUGUUUAUUAGCAGUUGAGGUUCGAUUUGAGCCCACACACACAUAUGUUAGGUAAACUGGGCAGUUUUUCAAUCCGUAAAUUAGUCUCGGCCUGUGGCGUUUCCUUUGACUACAUGUUGAUAAGCACCUACCAGUUUCUACCUGAAGUUUAAAGCACAAACACCUUCUUACACUUGUAGAU